CCUACGGGCGGCUGCAGUGAGGAAUAUUGGUCAAUGGACGAGAGUCUGAACCAGCCAAGUAGCGUGAAGGAUGACUGCCCUAUGGGUUGUAAACUUCUUUUAUAAAGGAAUAAAACGAGGCACGUGUGCCUUUUUGCAUGUACUUUAUGAAUAAGGAUCGGCUAACUCCGUGCCAGCAGCCGCGGUAAUACGGAGGAUCCGAGCGUUAUCCGGAUUUAUUGGGUUUAAAGGGAGCGUAGAUGGGUUGUUAAGUCAGUUGUGAAAGUUUGCGGCUCAACCGUAAAAUUGCAAUUGAUACUGGCAGUCGUGAGUACAGUUGAGGUAAGCGGAAUUCGUGGUGUAGCGGUGAAAUGCUUAGAUAUCACGAAGAACCCCGAUUGCGAAGGCAGCUUACUAAACUGUGACUGACAUUGAUGCUCGAAAGUGUGGGUAUCAAACAGGAUUAGAUACCCUUGUAGUC
rnacentral:rRNA from 1 species